rnacentral:rRNA from 1 species
GACAGAGGGUGCAAACGUUGUUCGGAAUUACUGGGCGUAAAGCGCGUGUAGGCUGCUCGGUAAGUCGGAUGUGAAAGCCCUGGGCUCAACCCAGGAAGUGCACUCGAAACUCCAGAGCUGGAGUCCCGGAGAGGAAGGCGGAAUUCUCGGUGUAGAGGUGAAAUUCGUAGAUAUCGAGAGGAACAUCGGUGGCGAAGGCGGCCUUCUGGACGGUGACUGACGCUGAGACGCGAAAGCGUGGGGAGCAAACAGG